CACGUAGGCACCAAGCGUUGUCCGGAUUUAUUGGGCGUAAAGAGCUCGUAGGCGGUUCGGUAAGUCGGGUGUGAAAUUUCGGAGCUUAACUCCGAAACUGCAUUCGAUACUGCGGUGCUUGAGGACUGGAGAGGAGACUGGAAUUCAUGGUGUAGCAGCGAAAUGCGUAGAGAUCAUGAGGAAGACCAGUGGCGAAGGCGGGUCUCUGGACAGUUCCUGACACUGAGGCACGAAGGCCAGGGGAGCAAACGGG
rnacentral:rRNA from 1 species